CCGGGUUUGGGUUUCUGGCUGUGAGUCAGGUUUCUGGAAAUCUUUGUGGAAAGUUCAUGCUUUAUGAGGAGUCUAUAAACCAAGAAAGAAAACAAAAGUCAUCAGAAGAAACGAAUCUAAAAAUAAAGCUGGAAGCAUCCAGAAUCUUGAUGGUGUACCAAACCAAAUGUCAACUGGAACACGACCAAAAACCGAAGGCAAACAUCUGGUCUAGUGGUUAAUACACCCUCAUCCCACAUUGGACUGCCUGUGUUUGUGUUUCAUCUCUGGUUCCCAAAACCAGAUUCCUGAUAAUGCAGACUCUGGGAAAA